rnacentral:rRNA from 1 species
CCUACGGGGCGCAGCAGUGGGGGAUAUUGGACAAUGGGGGAAACCCUGAUCCAGCGACGCCGCGUGAGUGAAGAAGUAUUUCGGUAUGUAAAGCUCUGUCAGCAGGGAAGAAAGAAAUGACGGUACCUGACCAAGAAGCCCCGGCUAACUACGUGCCAGCAGCCGCGGUAAUACGUAGGGGGCAAGCGUUAUCCGGAAUUACUGGGUGUAAAGGGUGCGUAGGCGGCUUGGCAAGUCAGUAGUGAAAUCCAUGGGCUUAACCCAUGAACUGCUAUUGAAACUGUCGAGCUUGAGUGAAGUAGAGG